AGCAGCAGUUGAAAUGGUUUAGCACAGAACUGAUGAAGACCCCGAUGGGAAGAAGAAACACAGUGGUUUCUUUCACUGCCCACAGCACCAUGGCUACUCCCUUUUGAACAACCUUCAGCCCAAAUGAUCCUCCCAAGAAAAUCAACCACCAGAUGCUGAUACCAGCAGAAAUCUAGGAGAAGCUUGUAUUCUAGGUCCUCACAGAAAUGCAGUGAAAUAUUACUUAAGAGACCUCACAGAAGCCGCUUUUUUCUGGCUCCCUAAUGCUAUGAGUAACCUUGGUAAGGCCAAAAUAAGUCAAAAUUCAUCUCAAGGCAAGUCCAAUAACCUCAGUGGAGUUAUGCUAGCAAUGAAUUUGGCAUACUCAGGAGAGGGAAAGGAGGAAUUCUAAUUGCAUGCAUAUUUUUAUUAGAUAUAUUUUAUCUAAGAGAGCCUACGCCUCAAGCUGGUGGGAGGAGCAUCAUCAAAGAAUGAGACAGGCUGCACCACCUCCGAAUACCAUAGCAGCCAGCCACAAAGCAGCACUUAAACUUGUCAAGAGCAUGUUUCCUUCUUGACUGCAGGUUUUGUGCAGAGAUUCAAAUGCAGAUGUUUGGGGAGUGGGAAUCAAAGAGAAUGAAGAGAUGGGUAGAAAGAAUAUGCCACAGAGAGAGAGAGAGACACACACACUGAUUAGCCUAGUAUCCUACAUCAUUGUCUUUGGGAAGGUAAUAUCCUAUACUACACAAGAUGCUAAAGUGACCAGCCGGGGGAACCUCCAUUCUUGGGGGAUCCCAAUUCUAAACCUUUUGGUAAUUCAAAGCAGAUGGGAAAACUGAACAUGAUGCAGAUAAAGCUCACCUUUCUGCCUGCGUACUUCAUUUCCAAUUUAUGUGGAGGUGUUUCCAUUAUGUACAGGGCAGAAUGAGAAUGUGUAAGGAUCUUGGGGCCUGGUUUUCUCAAACCAUGGCUGGGAGACAGCUUGAAUCCCUUUCAUUCUCUAAUUCUUAUUAGUGCCAUUUGGGGUCUUCCCUGCCAAUAGAACAGCUUGUGCUGCUGCUGCUACAGAGUUUCCCAGUAUUGUGCCAGAAGUGAGACUCAUCCCAGAGGGAGAGUGGACUCCUAAACUGGCCCUUGUGCCCCAUAAGCGGAAUGAAUCUGCGGGCUCAAGCUACACCUCUGCAGGCAGCUCCCAACUCUGUACUAAAAUAGGGAUAUCAUUCUACAAGAAUUAGCGCCUGCAGUUGGAAUUUACUAAUAUAUCUACGUAAAGUACCAUUUACACUCUUAACCAAAGGGAAUAGUCAUGGACCAUUAUUAUAUAUAUACAUACACACACACACACAAAUAAAUAAAAUUUAUACUUACAUAGAUCUAAAUUAAUACUCUGAAAAAAGUAUUUUUAAAAGGGUUGUUUCUUAGAUGUCAUUCUCCUUGUGAUGUGCCACUUUGGAAGCUGGGGAGUGGAUUCAGCACAAUAGCCCUCUUAGGCCCUAGCUCAUACGCUAUAGUGGUAAGUAAAGUCUAUAGUUCCAUAGCUGUAAGGAAACAUCCUGCCAUUCAUGCUGAAAGGUCUCAUACACUGUAGUUAAAAAUGAAAUAGCACCCACAAAGAGGAUUUGUAUUUGUCAUCUUUUUAACUUAGAUAAAUAGUCAAAUCUUUAAAAAAAAAUAAAUUAAAAAUGGUGCUCCUGGCAAGAGUCCAAAGCCUGCCCAAAGUUUAUUCACCCCACAGCAAAUGUUUACAGCCACAUUACAACACCGUGGGAAAAAAAACAAAAACAAAAACAGAAUCUUAAUGGAAAAACACCAUCAUGGCCAGAUGUUUGCCACUACUAGUGGUGCUAGGUGCAUAUGAUGCAACACCCACACACACAUUAUCCUGAAUAUAACCCACCUACUGAAGAGAAUGACUUUUGACCUAACCAGAAACAGUCAUUAGACAGCUACGUUUAAUGGGGGAAACUUCCCUGCAAAGUCACAGCUACAUUUUGGUCAGCAUGAGGCUAUGCAAAUGGUUUAAGAUCUUGUAUGUACAAAGAAGUGUGCGUCUCAUCCCUAGUAGCUCAGCAAAUCUCACACUAGACAAUCUUGUAAUCAGAUUUCCUGCAGCACAACACUCUUCAGAUGGCUUCAUUGCAUUUUACACAGUACAGCAGUAGUGUAUGCUAGAGAUACAGCAGCUUUAAAAGGAAUUUUUUAUUUUUUUUUUUACUCAGAAACAAAAGUCACACAACUGAUUUAUUUUGUCCAACUGCAGCAACAAGAGUUGGACAUAGUCUUCCCACACACAGACCUUUAAACCAGGGCAUAUAAAUGAGCAUUUAGGUCAGAGGCUCAUUGAAAUUGAAUUAACUACUGCAGAAGAAAAAACAGUGUUGGGGAGAGCAGAAAUGGGAGAUGGCUCAUGGCCUGGAUGCCAACAAAGAUUGUUGCUGCAUGUUCACGAACAUUCACAAAGCAAAGGAUCAGUAUGCUGCAUAAUAAUGGCAAAUCUACAAAGCUGGUCAUGUCUCUUUUACAGACUGGUUCUUAAUGCCCAACUCCGGUUUAUUAGCAGCAGGUUUAAGAAACCUAGGAGAAUUCAAUUAAAUAAAAAAGGCUCCUAGUAUAUAUAUUAUAUAUAUAAAAAAUCUAAUGUAAAGCUGCACAUAGAACUGAAGCCACUAUUUGAUUAAACAAGCCAGGGCAUGGCUUAAGCAUUUCUAAAGCUGGCCAAGGUACCCAACACUGCUUCCUGCUCAUCACACCGCAAGCCAGAACAGCUCAGCAGAGAGGGACAAAUUAGAGUCCAUCUGCACAACUGACACCGUCAGAACCUUUACAAUUCCCUAUGCUGCAACUCACAACUAUCCAGCAUAGUUUGUUGCCUGGGACACUGCAUAUCAGACAAAGAUGUGAACAAUCCCCACCUGAGGAUGUAAUCAUUCAAACACAGGGCUGGGUUUAAAUGAGCAACUUCUGGUCACAAAGAAAAACAGGCAAAAGUUAAAACCAGAUUUAUAAUUUAAUUCCUUUCACUAUAUCUGCCAUCCAACUUCCAUGGACAUAGCUAUGGCAGAAAGUUCUUUUCUUCCGUUUUCCUCGCAUUCUAAUAUUCAGGUACAUGCUACAGUACAUCAACGGUGCUAAGGGUCUCCUUGGGGGCAAAAACUCCCAUGAACUCAGAGGUAACGCUAUAGCUCCAGCCUGAACAUGUCCAGUUGACCUAGUGAACCAUGUUCCACAUCACACUACAUGCCAGUUAAGGUCAGCAGCUCUCACUUUGGUAGAUUUGAGUCCCCAACCUUAAAAUGAUUUAAUAAUGAAAUAGUAAAAUAAAGAAAAGGGUUAUGGAAGCGGACUCUGAAUUGCAGUUGUCUCUCUAGGUCACUCCAUACAUGCAUUGAGGAGUCGGGCAUCUAAUUGGGGUACGUGCAAAAUCAAAUUAACAGUUGCUACUCAUAUUCAGUAGUUUAUUAGAUAAUGUAGUAACUGGCAGCUAAUUUCUAAAAGACAAAAAAUUGAAACAUGGCAGAAUUUUAUUAUAAGCUGGUCAACAUGAUCCCUGUCCAAGUUCCCCUCAAGGCCUGUGGUUCCCAAAUGUGUUAUCAUUUAGUCUUCUCCCAGCCUUGUGUUGCACAGCCUUCAAUGUAAGUGCUCUGUCUUUACCAAAGACUAAACAUGCUGCCUCCUACAGCUCGCCCAGUCUCUCUGGCCCAGAAAAAUGGGACUGAGCUAGAGCCAUGAACUUUGCUCCCACAUAUGGGCAGUGUGAUGGGCUAUCACUGAAUCAGACCAAACUGACACCACUUUGAAAGGGUCCCUAUAUCAGAUCAAAUUCACCCCAAUAUGGGCAUUUUGCUUUUACAAAUACGCUUUUACAAAGCCAAGAUCAAGAGAAACGUGAAUUUACAAUACCACCAGUGGACUAAAACCAAGAACAAUCCCUUGCAGUGUUUGCAACCCAGGCAUCACGCUAGCAGUGCAUUUGUGAAAGGAGCUAUAAACUGCCUAGAAAUCAAAGUAAAACUGAUUCAUCUCUCAUCAUUGUCCAAGCUCAGAAAAAUGCAAAAAGGAAACAGUGAAAAGUCACUAGAUUUAAUUUUUUUUUCAGUUUUAGAUUAUCCCAAGGUAUGGGUUAUAGCAGAUAAAGGAACUUACAAAAAAAAAGUAUGGUACAACCUUCAUUAGUCAAAUAUUGUGAGAGAUGCUCAAUAAUUUCAGAUAACGGAAGUUUUGGGGAAAAUCAUCAAGGGUUUUUUCAAUACAAUUAAUAGAUGAAGGGGGAUAUGACCCUGUUCUGGACAAUUGGGAGUUUCCGAUAAUCAAACUUAAAUGUUCCUUUAGUUGAAGACCUUACUCUGUAUCCUUAUCCCAGCUGUUUCCAUAGUCAUUUAUAAAUACUCGAGAGAGAAAGCCUCUCUAAUCCUGUGUAGAACGUGUGGUGUGGCUUACCUAGCAACUGGAAGAAACAAGAAAAAACGGGCUGAAAUGCAAACAGACUUUUUAAAAGUUUCAACAGAAAAAUUCAUUUAAUUUUUUUUAAUGUUGCAACCUUACACAAAAAUUAGUAGCUCCCAUUUUCAAAUAGAAAGGGGAGUUUAAAAGGCAGAUACAGUUUUUUGUAUGAUUCCUGGGAAUUCUUUGGGGAUAACAUUUUCUUAGUUUCAAGUCAAUCACUAAAACAUAUUCAAUAUCAUUCUGCAAAGGUAACCCAAGUAUGGGAGGUCACAUUCAAGUACGCCAGAAUGUAGGAGCACCUUCACAUAGACGGGGGGGGAGGAGGGAGAGGGUGACAAUGAAAUGGCCACUUGUAAUUCAAAUGACCUUGGAGUUGCACUGGAUUCCAUCUCCAAGGAUACCUGCGGAAGCCAAGGGACAGCACAAUUAUCACAGUCAUCUGAAAAGCAACAGAGAUUUGGUGCGAAAAUGUAGGAGAAUUCAUGGGAGUAGGCCUGGGCCUGACAGUCACUAGCAACAAACCACCCCAAAAGGGGAGGUUGUUAAAAGAAAAGAGAGAGCAUCCGUUGUUUUCAAUACAGCAUCAGUUGGAGUGUGCAGGGAAAAUACUCUCCAAUGAAAUCACUUUAAACUAGAAAAGAAGAGUCAACAAGCCUCAAACUCAGAUAUGGAUUCAGUCCAUCUUAUCACCAAAACAUUUCCAGGCCAAGUUUUGCAUUCCAAUAACCAAGAACACCACAACUCUUUUCCUCCAUACUGGUUAUACCCCAUCAGCGGAGUGUGGACUAUGAUUAGUAACACAAAGGGGAAAAGACAGCAAGAGAGAGGAUCACCACUACAAGAAUUUAGGUUAUCAAUACAUAUUUCAUUUAGAAAUUAUAGCUAUGAAGUUGCAAGCAUGGAAUGGUGGAUAACUUUAUCACCACUAACUGAACAGCAGACACAGAUAGGGACGUGAUGGAAAUAAUGACUAUUUUAGUUAUUGAUUUCUUAAGUUUGUUUACAAACUGGAUUUUAAUAUAUGGCUAUUCCAAUCCAAUACGGUUUGUUUUAAUAAAGCUGGAUAUUUUCCUAAACUUAGUUUUUAGUGUGUGUAAACAGGACAAAUUUAUCUUACUCAUGCAUUUAAGUUUCCCUUUUUACUUACUUACUUACUGAUAAAGGGUUGAAAAAGCAUGUAACAGGGAAGAAAACUUGCUUCUGGCUUUGCAACAAUCUUGCUUUGGCAGGGAUGGAUUAGAUAACAUAUUAGGUUGUUUCAAUCGCCAGUACCUAUAAUUUGCCCUUUUUAAGAGGAAAUUCUGCAGAGGAAUUUUCAUUAGUAACUGCAGUGUUUUAGCUGAGCAGCUUUCUAGAACUGGCAGCAUGCUAGAGAACCACUCGAGAGGCCUGACAGUAGGUAUAAAUACUCUUAUCAGCUGCUGGAAAUAAGGAAGGAGAACACUUUUCCAUAGGCUCUACAGGAUUUGGGGUAAGAAGUGCUAUUUUUCCUAGUGUGGAUCCAACACUAGCCAAGCGCCAACUAAAAGGCUGGCAAAGAAGGGUUAAUUCAUAAGUGGCAUGGCUGCUUCCUAGAAUGGAAGGUGAAUGCACCAGACUGGUGAGGGAUGACGUAGAAAACACUACUUGGAUAAACUAAAGAUUCUGGGGUUUUACAGGUUCACUGGUUCCACUUGCAACUCGAGAUAAGUACACUCGAUUAUCUUCAACUAGCAGCUUGGCCAGCAGGUGUUCUGAGCCACAAAGGAGAGGCUGGAAAAUGUUACACUGCCCUGAAUGCUGGAGGGGCAAAUAUGUCCACUUUAAAAUCUAUAAUCUAUAACCCAACAACUGAUCUGUGGAAACACUCACCUGCUGUAAGUCUACAAGUCUCCAUUGAUUUCAAUGGAUCUAUGAUUUAAGGCAGCUUAUGGUAUGGUCCUAUUUAUGCACAUUUUCAAGGAGAAGCAAUGCAAACAAUAUUUUUCAUUUGUCAGUCAUCCAGCAUUUGCUCACCUGACCUGUUACAAGACUUAAAAAGCCUGUCUUAAACAAAGGAUUCCCAGCCUCAUAGUUCUUUCUGGGGGUUUGCUGAAAUUCAAAGUACCAUUCACGUGAUGUUACUGACGGGCUGUAGGGGCACAAACAAAUUGUGCUGCACUCUCAUCGCUGUGCUCUAUUUCUGAGUCUCUGCUAAUAGUCUCCUCUUAGCAUCACGGCUUUGAGCAAACCGUUACAUCAGCUGACUACUGUCAAAAAACCAGACUUAGCCACCAAGAAUAGGUGCAAAGUUGCUGAUUGGCCGACUGUGACUAUUAGGCAAAUUACAACAGCCGCCACUAGAUUUCAGAAAUCAAUUCAAUGCACUAAAAUCCAGAGAAUCUGUCCACUCACUGCCACCAACGUACAGAUAAAUUAGAAUGGUCAAGCUGUAGAUGCACUGCUGUCUUCAAGGCUGUCUGUUCCUCUAAAGGUGUAACCCUAAACCAUGUCCCCCAGGAAUUUUCUCCUCUUUGGAAACCAAGAAAUUUGUUUUUGCUCAGCUUUCAUACAGAAAGUGGAUCUCAGUCACAGGGAAUAGGACUUGGGAAAGAGAAAGAAAACCUAGAAGAGAAGUAGUGUCACCUGUUUACAGUUAGCCAUUACUACUAUAUUUGUCUCCUCCCUAAGAUGCUAGAAGAAAUGAAUCAGCUCUGCUCUGCUCCUUAACACCCGUGAACUGCCACGUGUACAGCAUAUGAAUGGUCUCAUUUGCUCUAUCUUGAGGAAAUCCGUCCCAUUAAAAGUUCCACCCUGAGCUUGCUGCUCACUGCACUCUGCUCCAUAACAGCAUUGUCAGUUUGGAUUUAACAGCAAGAUGACAACACUGCACUGCAUCAGUGGAUGCAGAAAGGACAGACAGAUCCCUAAAAAGAAGACACAUGCUCCAUCAUUGCUAGCUUACUUUUCUCAUUUCCAAAGCUAUCAGGAUCUUUAAGUUAAGAAAUGUCUUUGGUGUUUAGACAGAAGACAGCAGAAGGGGUUGUAUAAUAAAAACUACAACUGAUUAACUGGAGGCUGAAAGAGGGUCAUUCUGCACAGCAUCUACUCCCCAACUGCUUCAGGUGUCUCAGAAAUCGGUAGGGAUACUGGGUCUGCACUGAACUUUUUAGUACAUUAUGAAAAGAACAUGAUUUAAUCCAACUGCUGAAUUAAAAACAAAUAUAUGUUUAAAAGGAAAUUAUCUUGACUACUGGCCAGUCCCAAAUGCAAUUGACUCCUGGUCCUUUGUCUAACUAUAUCAUUGGGAGGCACGGGGUGGAGAGCAAAGGAAAACUUCAAAAUCCUGUUUUAAAAACAGUAGUUGCCAGUUUUCAUGUAGAAAAUGUGAGGCCUCUGUUCUUUUGGUUUGCAUUAGUUUAUGAGAUUCAUUCUCAAAUACUGUCUUUAAUCCCCACUGCCCCUCACCCCAGAAAUUUACACUCACUGUCUCAGCUUCACACCAUGGGACACCUGCUGAAAUCUACUUCCAAGUUUCAAUCUGGUGCUGGACUGUUGACCUUAAGCCAUUUGGUCUUCAGGCCAGAGGGUCGUACUGCCAGAAAGGACUGACAACCACUGAUGCAGAAGGCUAACCAUAUGCCCCUUGGGUUCACAGGAAAGGUGAUGGUAGUUUCAUUCUAGGAUGUUAUGAAUAAACCAUACUGCCCCAGAAGCAGGGGGACAUAUGAACAACUAGAAAACCAAAUAUAUACAGAACCUUUCAAAGAUGCCGUUUUCUCACAUGUUCAGUCACUAUGAUUUUCGGCUGUGAAUUCAGAAGCGGAUGAUGAAUAACUGAGAAAUCAGUGUGAGGACAACCCACCCCUUUUUGUUUUUUUUUUCUUUUCUUUAAAAGAAAUAGAUUAAUGCUGCUCGUCCAUCUUCUCACUUUCCCUCAAAGGGAAUGGACAGAAACCAUAUUUUGAAGAUCCAUCUGGUUGAGCCCUGUAGCUCCCCCUCCCAAAUCCCCAUAUAAACAAACAUGAAUAUAUGGAUCUUUUGCAGGAGUGAGUUUGUUUAAAAAAACAACAACAACUGCCUUUCCCCCCCGUUUGGUAUCAUGUUACUUUAAUGCUGUUCCUACGAGAAGCUGCACCCAUCCUUCUAAAUCUUCUUGGGUGGCCCUUUUCAAUGGUCAUAUGUUUUGAAGCUCUGAGAGGCAGAAUAGCAAGCCAUCAGAGAUGAUCAGCCUUCUUCCCAGAGAGCAGAUGUAUGUGUGAUACAUUCCUUUAGAUGCUGAACUGUAACUCCCAUCCCAAAGGGAAGGAGAUUUAAAAAAAAAAUAAAAAAUCCCAGCAGUCAUACAAUCAGUUGUCUGUAUUUUUUUUUUUUUUUAAUCUAAAAAGAGGAAAAAUAUCCCAUAAGUAAAGGCAGAACUGAGUUCCAGGUACAGGUAGUUGGGAGGAUUUUUCUCUUUCUUUUUGG